rnacentral:rRNA from 1 species
ACGCGAAGAACCUUACCCAGGCUUGAACAGCGAGUGACCAUCGACGAAAGUUGACUUCCGCAAGGACACUCGUAGAGGUGCUGCAUGGCUGUCGUCAGCUCGUGUCGUGAGAUGUUGGGUUAAGUCCCGCAACGAGCGCAACCCUUGUUUGCUGUUGCCAUCAGGUUAUGCUGGGCACUCUGCAAAGACUGCCGGUGAUAAACCGGAGGAAGGUGGGGAUGACGUCAAGUCAGCAUGGCCUUUAUGUCUGGGGCUACACACGUGCUACAAUGGCCGAUACAAACCGUCGCGAGCCCGCAAGGGGGAGCUAAUCGGAGAAAGUCGGUCUCAGUUCGGAUAGCAGGCUGCAACUCGCCUGCUUGAAGUUGGAAUCGCUAGUAAUCGCGGAUCAGCACGCCGUGGUGAAUACGUUCCCGGGCCUUGUA